GGCUCAGGAUGAACGCUAGCGGCAGGCUUAACACAUGCAAGUCGAGGGGCAGCGGGGAGGAAAGCUUGCUUUCUCCGCCCGGCGACCGGCGCACGGGUGAGUAACACGUAUGCAACCUGCCCCUGUCAGGGGGACAACCCGCCGAAAGGCGGGCUAAACCCGCGUACAUGCCACCGGGGCAUCCCGGAGGCAGGAAAGGCUUCGGCCGGACAGGGAUGGGCAUGCGGCGCAUUAGGCAGUAGGCGGGGUAACGGCCCACCUAACCGACGAUGCGUAGGGGUUCUGAGAGGAAGGUCCCCCACACUGGUACUGAGACACGGACCAGACUCCUACGGGAGGCAGCAGUGAGGAAUAUUGGUCAAUGGUCGGGAGACUGAACCAGCCAAGCCGCGUGAGGGAGGAAGGUACAGAGUAUCGUAAACCUCUUUUGUCAGGGAACAAAGACUGGGACGCGUCCCCGGAUGAGUGUACCUGAAGAAAAAGCAUCGGCUAACUCCGUGCCAGCAGCCGCGGUAAUACGGAGGAUGCGAGCGUUAUCCGGAUUUAUUGGGUUUAAAGGGUGCGCAGGCGGUCUGUUAAGUCAGCGGUCAAAGCCCGGGGCUCAACCCCGGCCCGCCGUUGAAACUGGCAGUCUCGAGUUGGAGAGAAGUAUGCGGAAUGCGCGGUGUAGCGGUGAAAUGCAUAGAUAUCGCGCAGAACUCCGAUUGCGAAGGCAGCAUGCCGGCUCCACACUGACGCUGAGGCACGAAAGCGUGGGUAUCGAACAGGAUUAGAUCCCCUGGUAGUCUACGCAGUAAACGAUGAAUGCUGGCUGUCCGGGGGGACUGACCCCUGGGUGGCGAAGCGAAAGCGAUAAGCAUUCCACCUGGGGAGUACGCCGGCAACGGUGAAACUCAAAGGAAUUGACGGGGGCCCGCACAAGCGGAGGAACAUGUGGUUUAAUUCGAUGAUACGCGAGGAACCUUACCCGGGCUCAAACGGGGAGUGACUCAGGCAGAGACGCCUGUUUCCCACGGGACACUCCCCGAGGUGCUGCAUGGUUGUCGUCAGCUCGUGCCGUGAGGUGUCGGCUUAAGUGCCAUAACGAGCGCAACCCCCGCGUGCAGUUGCUAACAGAUAACGCUGAGGACUCUGCACGGACUGCCGGCGCAAGCCGCGAGGAAGGCGGGGAUGACGUCAAAUCAGCACGGCCCUUACGUCCGGGGCGACACACGUGUUACAAUGGGUGGUACAGCGGGAAGCCAGGCGGCGACGCCGAGCGGAACCCGAAAUCCACUCUCAGUUCGGAUCGGAGUCUGCAACCCGACUCCGUGAAGCUGGAUUCGCUAGUAAUCGCGCAUCAGCCAUGGCGCGGUGAAUACGUUCCCGGGCCUUGUACACACCGCCCGUCAAGCCAUGGGAGCCGAGGGCGCUUGAAGUGCGUCGCCGCGAGGCGCGCCCUAGAGCGAAAUCGGUGACUGGGGCUAAGUCGUAACAAGGUAGCCG
rnacentral:rRNA from 1 species